CUUGUCUCUCACAGUGCGGAGCUACACAUCCUGCGGCUGCCGACCUCUUUGCAUUUGCAGCGGAGCCCGAGCCCUACGGCGCCAGAGGAUCUCAGAAGCCAUGUCAAAGCCCCAUAGUGAAGCCGGGACUGCUUUCAUUCAGACACAGCAGCUGCAUGCAGCCAUGGCCGACACAUUUCUGGAGCACAUGUGCCGCCUGGACAUCGACUCGCCACCCAUCACUGCCCGGAACACUGGCAUCAUCUGUACCAUUGGCCCAGCAUCUCGGUCAGUGGACAUGUUGAAGGAGAUGAUUAAGUCUGGAAUGAAUGUGGCUCGUCUCAACUUCUCGCAUGGAACUCACGAGUACCAUGCAGAAACCAUCAAGAAUGUGCGCACAGCCACAGAAAGCUUUGCAUCUGACCCCAUUCUCUACCGGCCAGUUGCUGUGGCUCUGGACACAAAAGGACCUGAGAGUCGAACUGGGCUCAUCAAGGGCAGCGGCACCGCGGAGGUGGAGCUGAAGAAAGGAGCCACUCUCAAGAUCACCUUGGACAAUGCCUACAUGGAGAAGUGUGACGAGAACAUCUUGUGGCUGGACUACAAGAACAUCUGCAAAGUGGUGGAGGUGGGCAGCAAGAUCUAUGUGGAUGAUGGACUUAUUUCCCUGCUGGUGAAGCAGAAAGUCCUCAAGUCCUGCCCACCUGCUGUGAUGCUCAGUGACAGCGUCAGCUAUAAGAGAGCUGCCAGAAAGAAGCAGCUAAGAAAAGCAGGAGAGCUGCAGCAGCCCCUGCUGCUGAUGGCAGAGAGGACUGUGGCAGCCAAAGACAGGAGCAAGGCCAAAGGUGUGGCAAAGAAAUAG